CAGAAUUGCUCCUGCGUUGCUAAGACAAGCAUCAUAUGGCACCAUUAAAAUUGGGAUUUACCAAAGCUUGAAGCGCUUAUUCGUAGAACGUUUAGAAGAUGAAACUCUUUUAAUUAAUAUGAUCUGUGGGGUAGUGUCAGGAGUGAUAUCUUCCACUAUAGCCAAUCCCACCGAUGUUCUAAAGAUUCGAAUGCAGGCUCAAGGAAGCUUGUUCCAAGGGAGCAUGAUUGGAAGCUUUAUCGAUAUAUACCAACAAGAAGGCACCAGGGGUCUGUGGAGGGGUGUGGUUCCAACUGCUCAGCGUGCUGCCAUCGUUGUGGGAGUAGAGCUACCAGUCUAUGAUAUUACUAAGAAGCACUUAAUAUUGUCAGGAAUGAUGGGCGAUACAAUUUUAACUCACUUCGUGUAAGUAGGAUGGGAUGUGCUCAUUUUAUUUCCAGCAUUUGGAGCACAAAAAGCCUCUUUUACUGAAAUCCUCAGGUGGAAUUUGAUAACUGGUACGUAUGGCCUAAAUACUCUUGUCUCUCCUAUUAUCAGAACUUCAAGCCUUAUGAACACUUUAUACUUCACAGAAAUGCCAGGUGCUAUGGGGGCUUGAGUACUUGGGAACAUUGUCUAAUACAGCAGCCUAUCAGAGGUCUAUUUGAUUUACAUUUAUCCAUACACAGCUUCUAUAUCUAAUAAGCACA
rnacentral:sRNA from 1 species